rnacentral:rRNA from 1 species
AGUGAACGCUGGCGGUAGGCCUAACACAUGCAAGUCGAACGGCAGCACAGUAAGGGCUUGCUCUUACGGGUGGCGAGUGGCGGACGGGUGAGGAAUACAUCGGAAUCUACUUUUUCGUGGGGGAUAACGUAGGGAAACUUACGCUAAUACCGCAUACGACCUACGGGUGAAAGCAGGGGAUCUUCGGACCUUGCGCGAUUGAAUGAGCCGAUGUCGGAUUAGCUAGUUGGCGGGGUAAAGGCCCACCAAGGCGACGAUCCGUAGCUGGUCUGAGAGGAUGAUCGGCCACACUGGAACUGGGACACGGUCCAGACUCCUACGGGAGGCAGCAGUGGGGAAUAUUGGACAAUGGGCGCAAGCCUGAUCCAGCCAUACCGCGUGGGUGAAGAAGGCCUUCGGGUUGUAAAGCCCUUUUGUUGGGAAAGAAAAGCAGCAGGUUAAUACCCCGCUGUUCUGACGGUACCCAAAGAAUAAGCACCGGCUAACUUCGUG